GUUUCAGUAUGAUAUAGGUGGGGAGUACAAUUGUUUUCAUAUCCUUUCAUACUACUACUAAUAGUUCUAGGAUUUUGACUGGGGAGAGGUAGUGACAAACAGGGAACAUGAAGGUUCUUCCUACUUUUGCUACCUAAGUUUGCAUUUUCUGACUUCCUUAAAGUGUUGCACUCUUUGUCCCAUUGGGAUAAAAAACCGUUAAGUUUGAAAUUUUGCUUUAAGCCUUGUGUUCCUAGGGAAGUUAAACAACUAAGAGAGCUGAUUUGUGAAAAUUAUUUUUUAUAUGACAUUAAUAUUCAUCAAGCCUUGUGUAGGCAUGUGUAAGACACAGCUAUGCAGCUUUGAAUAGUCAAUAUAGUAUGAGAUAGAGUGUUCCAAAUCCUGUCAUUUUUUAAGUAGCGUAUUACUGCCCUGAUGGUACUGUUACUUUGCUGUUGAAUGCUCUAAACAGAACUUUUUAAAAAGGUGUGGUUUAAGAGCAGUCACCCAGGAGUAGACAAGGUGGAAUGGGAGGAAAGAAAUGGUAAUGCAAAAGCUUGAGCAUGGGAAGGGUCAGAGGAGGAGGCCAUCAUCCUUGUUAGCUUAGCCUGCUUCAACACUGAGCACAUUUCUGCACUUUUGAAGUGAAUAUUCAUGUUUUUCUUAGAAGAAAUAAUUUCCUUUCAUUAGGGAUCCCAGUUGAUUUUUGUUUCCUGGUGUAUCAAAAUACUUAGAACUAUGAAACAAGUAUUAUUGUGAUCAUGCCUUUGAAUAAUUUUUGACAUAGCUUAUCUUCAUAUAUCAAGUAUAAAAUUAUAAUGAGACAUCUAUUCACAAAUACAAGUCUUAGAUUGAAUUGAAAUGUGUUACAUAGUGCCCUGUCUCCCACUGACUUGUUCAGUUAAAUGUCUUAAAGUACAUUAUGUCCAUCUUCAGGCUUUUGGUUCCACAACGGCACAAGUAUGGUAGGGAGGCAAUAUAGUCUUAGGCUAUAUGCCUAUAUUAAAUGUGUAUAAACGAUUUUUGAAAGAAUACAUUAUUAUAGAUGUAUGUGAGUGAUGCUGACCUGACAGCCAUAUCCAGUGGAUGAAACUGACUGGACAUACUGUUAAAAUAUUUUAAAGAUAUAUUUUCAACCAGAACAGCCUGGUUAUAGUUUGUGGUUUAAAGACUCUCACCUUGAUGAAUUGCAGGAACACAUGCAGCCUACUGGCAUUGAGCAUUAGCUAAUGGCAUGAAAGGGCCUCAUCUCACUACCUCUCUUAAGGCCUCUAGCUCAAAGAAAACUGCAUGAAAACUUAUUUCUUAGAUCUUUGUCUCAAAAUCUUUAGCGAGGAUUUUGUACUGGGGCUAACUUGAUGAAGGGAGGCAGCUGGGGCAGGACUUUCUGAUACCUGAAGUCAUGUUCCAGAGCAACCUUUGGGCAGUGGAAACUGGCCCAUCUAUGCAAAAUGAUUGCUCAGUCUGUUUCUUGUGUACUACAUAUGUAACUAGCUGGGCCCUAAGGAAGGUUUUCUAGGGGGAAGGAUAGGGAAGUAGAGGAGGAGACAAGUAGGAGGAACAAAGCAUUCCAGACCCAAGAGGAUAGAAGUUAUUUAGGAUAGAUAUGGCCUACAUCCAUAGUUCAAAAUAAUACAUUUUAAUUGUUAGAUGCCAGUUAUAAAUAGGCUAUAGUUUUUAUAUGUCAAGAUUUACCUGUAAUCAGACUCAUUCUUUCACUCUCUAUACCCACUAUCUCCAUGCUUAGGAGCAUGGAUAUUAAUAGUUCCAAUGAUAUAUAAGUUAGUGAUUUUUGAUUUCCGAAAAUUUGACAACCUUUUAUUAUAGUUGGAGAAUAUUUGUCAGAAAUUCAAAGGUUGUUGUAAUUGAGUUGCCAGCAUUACAGAGAGUUUCCAUUUUCAGAUACCACAGUUGAAUCACCUCUGUAGAUUGUUACAGAGGCAUUUUAAGAUAGUAUUUUAUUUGUUAGGUUGUAUCUCAGUCUAAGAAUUGGGAAAAGAAAAGCUAUAGGUUUCUCUUUCCUAGUCUGGAUUUUGGUAAACACAAGCCUACCUCUGCUUCUUUGGUUCACAGCAGUGUGGAUCAUGAAAUGAACUGUUUACCCACAUUCAUCAAUAUUGGUAUUUUAUAAAUCUACUUAGAGCAUUUAAUUUCAUCUCAAAGAUUGUGAUCCAGUUUAGAUAAGCACAAAUACAGUAUUAGGAAAAGUAAAUAUGCAAUCUUACUAAAAUUUCAACUUGUUAAGCUGUAUAUCUUAAAAAAAAAAAUUAUUUGGGGCUGGGCAUGGUGGCUCACACCUGUAAUCCCAGCACCCUCCCAAAGUGCUGGGAUUAUAGGCAUGAGCCACUGCGCCUAGCCUGUUGCAGCUUUUUAAAGCAGGAAAUAUCCAAAUAAAAUGUUGGGUUAGAAUCUAUAUUAGAAUCUUUCACACUUAAUUGAAAACGGGAAGACUAUCAUCUAAGUAGCCAGAUAAUCUGGGUUUCAAAAAAUUAUUCCAUGGUACUAGUUUAAAAAAUACUUUUCAAGUGUUUUAAUUUUUAAAGUAUAACUAAUUUUUCAAAUAUUUUAUGCUGUUAAAAUGUGUAUUACAUAAAUACUUUUUGUAUAUGUAUUAAAUUUCAAAAAGUCAACUGAAUGUGCAAAGAUGAUAUAUAAUUUUGGAUGUGUACAUUUAAACUAGAUUCCCAGUCCUCUCCUUCAAAAACUUGGUCUUUGUUUUUCCUAUAGGGGAAAAAGUCAAAAUAAGUUCCAAAAAUUAUCCUCAAAGUAGUAGUAUGCUUGUAGUAAAUGAAGGUUGGAUAGAUGGAUACUGACAAUGGUGGCAGGCAUUUCAAGCCUUUUAUUAAAUUAGUACUUUUUGUCUUCUUCCUUAUUAACAUUUUGUUGUUAAUUUUAGCAAAGACCAAUUGUGAUAAACUGGUGUUUUUUGGAUGCUUCAAGCACAUGUUAACCAAUUUUGUAAUUCCUCCUUUUGGUUCCUCCCAUUGUUCUAAAAUAGGACUUUCGUAUUAUUAAAACCUCAAAAGAUGAUCCACCCAGGAUGAACAAAGAUCACCAAGGGGAAAGAAAACAUUUUUUAUCUUUACAGAAAACAAAUGUUAAGAUUAUAUAUAGAUGUAUUCUUUACAUUGGAUAUUGUAUUAGAGUCCUCCUUACAAGAAAUGAAAUAGUUUUUAGCACUCUUAGCAUUAGAGUUCCUAGAUUGGUGUUGAUAGCUACAGUUUUAAAAUGUAUAACCUGAAAAUGAAGGUUAAUUUUGCAUUGUAAGAGCACAUUUGAUCUAUGUAAAAAGUGUCCAUUUGGUGUAUUUUUUUAAAAAAGAGAAAGCACUUUCAUAUUAAGUAGCAUGUGUAUGAAUUUAGAUUUUCAUAUUUGUUGUGUCUGUAUUCAGUGAAGUAAAUUGAGCAUUUAAAUGUUUGUUGAUGGCAACAUUAACUAUUAAAUUAAAGCACCUUAUACUC
rnacentral:lncRNA from 1 species